UACGUAGGGACCAAGCGUUGUUCGGAUUUACUGGGCGUAAAGGGCGCGUAGGCGGCGCGGUAAGUCACUUGUGAAAUCUCUGAGCUUAACUCAGAACGGCCGAGUGAUACUGCAGUGCUAGAGUGUGGAAGGGGCAAUCGGAAUUCUUGGUGUAGCGGCGAAAUGCGUAGAUAUCAAGAGGAACACCUGAGGUGAAGACGGGUUGCUGGGCCAACACUGACGCUGAGGCGCGAAAGCCAGGGGAGCAAACGGG
rnacentral:rRNA from 1 species